GUGCAUACUUUGGCAGCACAUAUACUAAAAUUGGAGCAAUACAGAGUUUAUCAUGGCCCUUACUCAAGGAUGAAAUGUUCCAUGUUUUU
ensembl:snRNA U6 U6 spliceosomal RNA